UGGCUAGGUGGUAGGAAAUCAGUUGUCCUGUUGGCUUCUGAGGUGCUGGGGGGGAAUAUUUCUAUUUGCUUGAUUUCACUGGUUGCUAGUCUCCAUUGCAGACUACCUGCUGAAGCAAGAAGCAGAGUUUCGAGAGAAGCAAGUGGAUUUUCACACGUUUAGGUGUUUCGCUUGUGCUGCAAACAUGGGAGGCAAAUUUAGCAAGAAGGGGUUUUGCCUUGCAUGUGAGAGACCAAUAGCCCAGCAGGUAGAAGAGGCUAUAGAAGCUGUUGCAGAGGAGUAUGAGGACACCCCACCUGCUGCAGCAACAAACUUGCUCAAGAAUGGGCAAAGCAACAAAGACUUCCAGGUCCCUGCUGAUGAGAUUGAAGAUGAGGAAAGAGGGGGAGACUCUUUAAUGGGCUCAGAGCAACCAAACAUCUUGCUAAAGCAAGACCCUGCAGAUGCAAUUGUAGGAGCCUUUAGAGACAGACCCUUGCCAGGUUCUGCAAGUACAACAACUGUUAAAAUUGAGCUGACGGGGAAGUACAUGAAAAGAUGCCUCUUCCACAAGGCACCUCUGCAUCAAGGCUACUAACCUCUUCCAGAAUGCCCCUAGUAACAUGAAAUAAAACCUUGGGCUGCAGCACAUGCAAAUACUCAAAGGGCUGUGGUGAUUUAGUACUUCUUGUUACCAGGGGGAAUGGACAAACUGCAUUUUGUUGAAUGGUACUUCUCUGUUGCACCAUUUCUUGCUCUUGUGCUAUGUAGUCUAGCCUUGCUGCAUAGAACAAGACUGUCUUGGGUGGUGGGGAAGCUUCCCCACCACAUUUUUACAGAAUACCUUCUUUCUCUACCAGUUUUUUUUUACAGACCUGAGUUCUCCAGGAUGGACUGCCUGGAAGCCCAGCACGUCUAGGGACCUAAAGAAGGAAAAAUUGCACUUGCCUGGCAUAGUAUUUUCCAGUGUUUCCUUUAAACAAUAUUAGUAUGAUGAUGCUUUUCUUUAAAUUUAUUGUUUUAUAUAAAUAAAAGCAAUAUCAAUGACUCUAAGAUGUAACUUUGCUGUCCUAAAGUCAUCUCAUCUUUUGUUUGUCUUAUGCUGUAAAACUCUGGAAGUGGAUCUGACAUUGUAAUCAUCCAAAAGUACUUGCUGCUCCUUUUUCAAAAAAGGAACAAAUGGUAGAAGAAAAUUUUAAAGUUGGGUCUACUUUGAACAACCAUUCUAUGUGGAUGGUAAUAGGACCACAGAGGCUUAUGGAAAGCACUUUGUAACUGGGGGGUUCCCCCCCUAGCAAUAAUAAAUGUCUCUUAUAACAGCA